rnacentral:lncRNA from 1 species
UUGACAGAACUUCUAGUUAGUUUACUGACUUGUUUAAAAAAAAAAAAAAAAAAAGAACAGGUCUUGCAGGGACAGGGUUGGACAGCUACAUGGAAAAAGUUAUCUGGAGCCCUGCUGCCGCAGGAGGAAUGCAGAAAGGCCAUGUGCUCCUCGACCGCCCGCCCGCCCGCCUGCCCGCCCGAAGCACUGGCCUUCCCUCAUCAAAGUCUGAGGUUGACUGUGAGGUUUAUGAACAUUCCCUCUAGAAGCUUGAGGAUUCUUUCUGUGGACUGCAGACUCCCAGAAGAGGCAUUUCAAGGGACAGGAGGGUUCCAAACUCCAAGCCUUCCUCAGAACAGUGUCAUCUCAGAGAUGCAUUUAUGAAAUAAGUUUCAAAGAUGCUAAAGAAGAAAAGGAGGAGGAAGAGGAGGAGAAGGUUUUGUGUUAGCAGGAAUCUCCAUCCCUGAGACUGGAUGAACUCCUUGGGGCUAUGUGCUUAGCUGAGGGUUCACCUCUGUGAGCUCUGACCUCUACCAAGCGGCAGAACUCAAAAACCGAACGGAGACGCCCUGAGUUAUCUGCACUGUUUCAGGAGGGAUGACUGUGGACCAAUACAUAAAUGGCAGUUGGCUUUAGAGUAUACAUUCGGCCCAGUGAUUUAUCCAAGACAACAGGCGAACAGCUUGCUAUGUACACAGCAGUUUACCUGUCCAGACUUGCUUCAGGACCCUGCUCUGUGCAGUCUACCAGCCCUAAGGUGUUAGGUUACAAAGUUGCCCAAUUUCGUCAGUUCCACCUUGAGAGACCUGCCUGGCAUCCCAUGCCCAUGCUGAAGCCAUGUAAAUAACCCUUUCCCUUCGCCCCUUCUCAGACCGCUGUCUCUCCCCGCGAUUUGGCUUUGCAGCACCAAGUGUCUGGUGAUGUUUAAGGGAGCUGCACACUGGGCAUUUUCAGUCUUACUUUCCUGCUGUGGAAUCAGGCCCCAAGAGACCAUCUCAUACUCAAUAGACUGGCAGGACCAUACUGGAAUCUACAUGUCUGUUCUCCAGGGCUGCCUUACCGCACAAGCUGAAACUUCCUUGUCUGCAACCAGAGAGGACUGCAUCGGCUCCUUGAGUCUUAAAACGCUGCCUUGCUCAAACUCUGCUAAACAAAACAAAACAAAACAAAAAAAACAACAACAAAACAAAUGGAGAGCUGGGUGUGGUAGCAUGUUCCUGUAAUUUCAGAUCUUGGAAGGAUUAGGAGUUCAAGGCCGAGCCUCCGUUCCAUAGCCAGUUAGAAAGGUGGAGGCCAGAACAGGCUGCACGAGACCCUGUCUCAUAAGAGAGACAAAAUAAGACAAAACAAAUAAAUAACAAUUAAAAAACAAGCUUAACCGUGGCUCAACCCAUCCUUUCUCUUACUCUCUCUCUCUUGUUAAAAUAAAUUUUUGUUUUACUAAGAUUUUGUUUAUUUAAAUAAAAUACAAAUAGAGCAAAGGGCUCUAUCAGAUUUAUUUGUGUGUGUGUGUUAAACAGGUAACAAAACUGGUGAUUUUGGUCAUGUGCUUAUGUGCAGUUUAGUGAUAGCACCCUCAAAGCUUGUGCUGUUCUCAUUGAUAUUGGUUCCACUAUAAUUUCAGCACCCCAAAAGUAAAUGCUAUGUCAAUCAGGUAGUUGCUGGUCACUUCUCCUCCCAGCUCCCGGCAACCACUAGCCUAAUAUUCUGUAUCAGUGAAUUUCCCCAUCCUGGUACGUUCAUGCCGUGUAAUGCUGUCUUGGUCAAUGGGGAACUGCUCAUGUGACUGUGGUCCCGUAAGACCACUUUGCCGAAUGACUCAGCCAGUGGAGAGCCGUGUACUUAUACUCAGUGGCGUUCACACAGGCAGGAGAUUGUCCACAGACACGUUUCAGGAUGUGUUCCAAUCACUUACAACUUUUGUAUAAAUGGGACAGUACAGUUUGUGGCUUCUGGGUGGUCUGCUGCCUUCUUUGGCUUAGCAGAUGUGGGCAUCUGUGAUAUUCAUUUCUCAGACUGUUUCUUCAGAUAUAUAUGUAUGUUUCUCUGUGUUUAUUCAGAUGCAUUUUGGAGCUAGUGUUGUCCAUUUUGCUUAUCAAGACCUGUGAGCUCCCGAGGUCUGUAAGUGUCCACUCUGUACCCCAGCCACACCUCUGCCACCGAGUCCAGCCUUUUACACGGAGUGCUGGGGACCUGAGCUUGUGCCACGAGUGCUUUUCCCAUGGGACCAUCUCCCUUUUUCACACUAAGCAGCAGAAGAGCCAAAUGCAAUCAUCGUCGUGACAGAGGGUUGUUCUACUGGCAGGGAGAAGGGGUCCUCAAAGGUGACAAAAAGGAAGGGAAACCCUCCAGAGGCCUUGGCCACUUGACUUAGGAGGAGUUGUCUGUCACUGGUCCUGGCUCUUGGAGGAGGCAGUCAGAACCAGGAUGCACAGCCUGACAAGGAAGAUUUCGAGAGGGGGAGGAGCCAGGCAACUGGAGCCUGUCUGUUGUUGAGAGUGUGGCCAGCAGCUAGAUGAAGGCAGUGAUGAGGCAGCCCUGGUUGGGGUCCCUCCGGGGGUCCCUCUUGCAUAGUCUCAGCUUUCCUUCUGUAUCUUCCGAGAAAGUGGCAAGAGACUGCUGGAUUCUGUCACUGCUCAAUGUUUUCAGCCAACAGAAGUCUGCUGUCAGCGUGGCAACAGCUCCUGUGGGCUCCCCAAGGUGUUGCUGUUGGUGAGGUCUCCUUUUGAUUCUUGGACUGGAAGGAUGUUCUCAUGAACAGUUCAGACAGGAGCAGAGGAUGGGAAACGUGCUGCUCGACGCUCAGAAUUCUCUCCCAUCGGAUUCCUCAAAAUGUCAAAGAGAAGAAAUCCUGUGCCCAGUGCGAUGGAAUCUAAAUCAUGAUUUAAUGUCAGGGACUGAUGUCAAUCUUCAGGCCCCUGUGAUGCUUAAACAUGCUGACCUCAUUCCCUUCUCUCUCAGCGAAUGGCAAACUGACAAUUGAUGCUUCCACAAAGUUGCUGGUUGGAAACGGUCUGCCUUUUUUUCUUAGAGUGUGCCUCGUCUUCUCUCCCUCUGCUUUGUAUGACAGGGGACAUGAAAAUGUAAAAAGAAAAACUGAAAAAAAA